UACGUAGGGUGCAAGCGUUGCCCGGAAUUAUUGGGCGUAAAGGGCUCGUAGGCGGUUUGUCGCGUCGGGAGUGAAAACACCGGGCUUAACUCGGUGCUUGCUUUCGAUACGGGCAGACUAGAGGUAUGCAGGGGGAGAACGGAAUUCCUGGUGUAGCGGUGAAAUGCGCAGAUAUCAGGAAGAACACCAAUGGCGAAGGCAGCUCUCUGGGACGGUACUGACGCUGAGACGCGAAAGCGUGGGGAGCGAACAGG
rnacentral:rRNA from 1 species